rnacentral:rRNA from 1 species
CUACGGGUGGCUCCAGUGGGGAAUAUUGCACAAUGGGCGCAAGCCUGAUGCAGCCAUGCCGCGUGUAUGAAGAAGGCCUUCGGGUUGUAAAGUACUUUCAGCGGGGAGGAAGGGAGUAAAGUUAAUACCUUUGCUCAUUGACGUUACCCGCAGAAGAAGCACCGGCUAACCCGUGCCAGCAGCCGCGGUAAUACGGAGGGUGCAAGCGUUAAUCGGAAUUACUGGGCGUAAAGCGCACGCAGGCGGUUUGUUAAGUCAGAUGUGAAAUCCCCGGGCUCAACCUGGGAACUGCAUCUGAUACUGGCAAGCUUGAGGCGCGUAGAGGGGGGUAGAAUUCCAGGUGUAGCGGUGAAAUGCGUAGAGAUCUGGAGGAAUACCGGUGGCGAAGGCGGCCCCCUGGACGAAGACUGACGCUCAGGUGCGAAAGCGUGGGGAGCAAACAGGAUUAGAUACCCUUGUAGUC